AGCCUUUCGAAAGAAAGAUUAAUACCGGAUAGCAUACGAAUAUCGCAUGAUAUUUUUAUUAAAGAAUUUCGGUUAUCGAUGGGGAUGCGUUCCAUUAGUUUGUUGGCGGGGUAACGGCCCACCAAGACUACGAUGGAUAGGGGUUCUGAGAGGAAGGUCCCCCACAUUGGAACUGAGACACGGUCCAAACUCCUACGGGAGGCAGCAGUGAGGAAUAUUGGUCAAUGGGCGCAGGCCUGAACCAGCCAAGUAGCGUGAAGGAUGAAGGCUCUAUGGGUCGUAACCUUCUUUUAUAUGGGAAUAAAGUUUUCCACGUGUGGAAUUUUGUAUGUACCAUAUGAAUAAGGAUCGGCUAACUCCGUGCCAGCAGCCGCGGUAAUACGGAGGAUCCGAGCGUUAUCCGGAUUUAUUGGGUUUAAAGGGAGCGUAGGUGGAUUGUUAAGUCAGUUGUGAAAGUUUGCGGCUCAACCGUAAAAUUGCAGUUGAAACUGGCAGUCUUGAGUACAGUAGAGGUGGGCGGAAUUCGUGGUGUAGCGGUGAAAUGCUUAGAUAUCACGAAGAACUCCGAUUGCGA
rnacentral:rRNA from 1 species